GAUUUUUCAUGGGACCGUACCGGGCUGUUCAGCAGCGGCAUGUAAGGAAUUUCUGAUGGAAAGCAGAGACAGGCAGUGGCAGGGCAGGCAGCUGCCUGCAGGAGAGAAGUUCCUCCAGGCCAGGGAGGACCCCCAGCUUUGGAGCAGUGGUCUUUUUGUUCCCCUGGGACAACCCCCACUGGUUUCCAUUGGUGUUCAACCCCCAGCCCUGAGAAACGUUUGCCAUAAGAGCUCCAUCAGAGAGAGGCGUGUGAGGACCAUGGCCUUGGAGAACUGCUCCUGCCUCACAUCCGACCUGCUGCAGAAGGCUUGGGUGGAGGAAAUGAAAGAUGAGAAGGAAAUAUUAAACUCAGCCGUGCCGUGGAAGUCAGCGAAAGGCUGCAGCUUGAGGAGAGAAGCUGCAAGAUGCCCCUCCAUUGCAAGCCUCAGGAUUCAAAAAUCAUUGCUGGGCAGUUUCCAAUUCCAGGAGCCACAGCUUCCAAGGGACACCUGUAGUGAAGAAACCAGCAAUGCCAUUGGAGAUUAUUAGCAACCACAUAACCAACGUGAGAUUUAAUUUGAGGUAGAGCCUCCAAACAUAUUCCAAGUCAGGAGUAUAACUAACACGUCUGUGAAAAACCUUCUGGAGGGGAAGGAUUGAAUUUCUCCUUUCCCUGUUAAAUACUUUACUCAAAGUCAUCUUUCCUGACGUCAGGAGCUGGGCAACAGCGAGCUCGUCUGGGUUGGGACCUCAGUCCAGGCUGGACACCCAGGCCAGGUGAGGUACCUGCACCACCUCAGCAAUCAGUAGAGAGGAGGAGCUGGAAGGGACAACAUCUCUGGGGUGUGAUAUGUCCUAGUCACCUCUUUUAAACUGGAACCUAAUCUUAUGGUUAAAGCUUUAUGUAGGAUGAUCAAAGCCUUAGAUCUUUGCACUGGUGAGAUAUCUCCUGGGAGCAGGCUCGAUGGAUUUGUUU
rnacentral:lncRNA from 1 species